UACAGAGGUCUCAAGCGUUGUUCGGAUUAAUUGGGCGUAAAGGGUGCGUAGGCGGCGCGGUAAGUCGGGUGUGAAAUCUCGGAGCUUAACUCCGAAACUGCAUUCGAUACUGCCGUGCUUGAGGACUGGAGAGGAGACUGGAAUUUACGGUGUAGCGGUGAAAUGCGUAGAUAUCGUAAGGAAGAACAGUGGCGAAGGCGGGUCUCUGGACAGUUCCUGACGCUGAGGCACGAAGGCCAGGGGAGCAAACGGG
rnacentral:rRNA from 1 species